GUAGUGGGAAGUUUUAAAUCACCAUGUGAGCACAAAGGAGAAGUUGUCAGGAGAAUAUCUGUGAUGGGGGAUUUUCACCCUGUGCUGCAGACCUCCACUGCCUCCCUGGCUCUGCUUUUUGCACGUCACAGCACCUAGCUCUGGGAACGAUGAAGCUGAGAAUCAAGAGCCAUCCAGCCCAGAGCUCCAGACACACUGGAGCAUCCAUGAUAUGGUCUCAGAAGACCCUGCACAAGCUUCUAAAUUGUCUGUGGAGUGGGACCUGGCAGAGCGAAGCACAGCAAAGGUUUUGGACUGAAACAAUAAGAGCUGACAGGACUGCUCGUGUCUGAGGAGCUGAGAAAGCCCGUGAUGCCAUCGCUGUUCCUGUACAACAUGCUCUGCGGCUCCUCUUGUUUAAUCUCUGUCCGUCCUCAGCUGAGCUGGUGCCAGAGGAGAACCUGCUGCACCCCUGGGAGCCCCAGCCAGCUGGAUGCAGCGGGGCAGCUCGGUCAAUAUUGACUUUAUUGCAGGCUUUGGUGCACAGCGAUGGUUAUCUUGUUCACCAGGGAGCUGAGGCUGGAGAGAAGUCAGGCUGUGAGGGCGCCUGGCCGAGGAGCUGGGGGUGCACAGCCCCAGGCAAAGAUGCUUCCUGCACACCCAGGAGGACGCUGGAGCCCAUACUGGAGAACAAACCCCUGGGGAAAGGGCAGCGUUGUGCUGUGGGACACAGAGCAGGUAGGGAUGGUGCCGCUGUCGCCGUACAGAGCUGGAGCUUCCUCCCUGGGGCACCCUGCAGCCGCCCCUGCCUCCCAGCUCGUCUCCCCCACCCGUGGCUUUAAAUGCCUCUCUUCCUUAAUCCCAAACAAGUGGGAGCGAGAUGUGGAGCAAACCAGUUCCAAAUGCUUGUGCUGGGGGCUCUGGGCUGGGUCUUGCUCUCCUUAA
rnacentral:lncRNA from 1 species